UAAUACGUAGGUGGCAAGCGUUGUCCGGAUUUAUUGGGCGUAAAGCGAGCGCAGGCGGAAUGAUAAGUCUGAUGUGAAAGCCCACGGCUCAACCGUGGAACUGCAUCGGAAACUGUCAUUCUUGAGUGCAGAAGAGGAGAGUGGAACUCCAUGUGUAGCGGUGGAAUGCGUAGAUAUAUGGAAGAACACCAGUGGCGAAGGCGGCUCUCUGGUCUGCAACUGACGCUGAGGCUCGAAAGCAUGGGUAGCGAACAGG
rnacentral:rRNA from 1 species